UACGGGGGGGGCAAGCGUUGUUCGGAAUUACUGGGCGUAAAGGGCUCGUAGGCGGCCAACUAAGUCGGACGUGAAAUCCCUCGGCUUAACCGGGGAACUGCGUCCGAUACUGGAUGGCUCGAGUUCGGGAGAGGGAUGCGGAAUUCCAGGUGUAGCGGUGAAAUGCGUAGAUAUCUGGAGGAACACCGGUGGCGAAGGCGGGUCUCUGGGCCAUAACUGACGCUGAGGAGCGAAAGCGUGGGGAGCGAACAGG
rnacentral:rRNA from 1 species